CAAAAAUCUUAAAGGGGUCAUGAAAUGAGAAACCAAAUUUGCCUUGAUCUUUUGGAAUAUAAGAGGUCUUUGUACCAUUAAAACGUCCUGCAAGUUUCAUAGCUUAAGACGUCCUCCCCAUUAUAAACGAGCCAUUUAUUUAAUCAAGCGCUAAAUACAGCUCGUUCUGGAUCCAUGGUAAGAAGUGACGUCACGGUGCGAAGUGACGUUCCAGCCAUUUGCAUAUGACCGCCUCCAGCACAAGACAACUAUGCUCAUUUCGUAUCGUUGUCGCGCCGCGCGCCUCACAAGUGUUCAGUCGACGGACAGCGAGUGGGUCUGUGUACAGGAAAAUUACAAUGCCAAGCAGAUGUGCUAUUCCUGGCUGUGGACAAACAACAUCUUUGAAUACGCUGCCGAAAGAUCCUGACGUCAGGGAAAAAUGGAUGCAGUUUAUUUUUUGCGGACGUCCCAGUCACGGCAGUGCUAAUUUAAGUGUUUGUUCUAUACAUUUUAAGGAUGACUGUUUUGAGAACAAAUACCAAUAUGAUGCUGGCUUUGCCAAAAAACUGUUGCUCAAAAACAAGGCCGUGCCGACUAUUCUGUGCUCAACAACGACGACGCAAACUAGACCGCCAUGUUCAGGCCCCAUGUCAAAAGAUGUUGGCUGUCAAACUGACCAACCCACUAAUACAUCUGUGGGCACACAGCUGUCGUUUCGAACCAUGAGACCCAAGUGUCGUAGCAAAGAAACACAAACAGAGCAGUCCUCAAUUCUUUCAAGUGGUGAUGUCGCCAUACCCUGGACUACUUCACAUCCUUUUACUUCAACAUCUUUAAAAGAUGAAAAGCCUUCCAAAAGGCGUCGCUUU